CUUAAUUAAGGCUCGUAACUCAUAAUCCAAAACGUGUUUCCCUCUGCAGCCCGCCUUACACCAUCACAGCCCUGAACACCCGCUGGUGAUCGCUCAUCUUAAAGAUAAAAGCAUGGAGGGAGAAAGGCGGAUUGAAGGACACUUUGCCCUCUGCCUUCUUGAAGGCAGAUGGGAUUCCCCUGAGGACCGGUGCAGAGGGGACGUCACUACUAAUGGAAGGCAGCACAGGCCAAUAGGUCACUGGUCAGUGCCCAGCGAGGAUACUCCCAGGAUCUUCCUGCAAAGAAGCGAUGUACGUUCGAAGCAGACGACCAGAGAGAAAAGUACAAGUCUUCACACCUUAUUACUGUGCCUUAUUUCUGGAAUUUU
ensembl:lncRNA